UACAGAGGGGGCAAGCGUUGUUCGGAAUUACUGGGCGUAAAGGGCGCGUAGGCGGCCUGCUAAGUCGAACGUGAAAUCCCUGGGCUCAACCCAGGAACUGCGUCCGAUACUGGUUGGCUUGAAUCCGGGAGAGGGAUGUGGAAUUCCAGGUGUAGCGGUGAAAUGCGUAGAUAUCUGGAGGAACACCGGUGGCGAAGGCGGCGUCCUGGACCAAAACUGACACUGAUGAGCGAAAGCCAGGGGAGCAAACGGG
rnacentral:rRNA from 1 species